AAGCGCGCGCAGGCGGUUUCUUAAGUCUGAUGUGAAAGCCCCCGGCUCAACCGGGGAGGGUCAUUGGAAACUGGGGAACUUGAGUGCAGAAGAGGAGAGUGGAAUUCCACGUGUAGCGGUGAAAUGCGUAGAGAUGUGGAGGAACACCAGUGGCGAAGGCGACUCUCUGGUCUGUAACUGACGCUGAGGCGCGAAAGCGUGGGGAGCGAACAGGAUUAGAUACCCUGGUAGUCCACGCCGUAAACGAUGAGUGCUAAGUGUUAGAGGGUUUCCGCCCUUUAGUGCUGCAGCAAACGCAUUAAGCACUCCGCCUGGGGAGUACGGUCGCAAGACUGAAACUCAAAGGAAUUGACGGGGGCCCGCACAAGCGGUNNAGCAUGUGGUUUAAUUCGAAGCAACGCGAAGAACCUUACCAGGUCUUGACNUCCUCUGANANCCCUAGAGAUAGGGCUUCCCCUUCGGGGGCANAGUGACAGGUGGUGCANGGUUGUCGUCAGCUCNNGUCCNNGAGAUGNUUGNGUUAA
rnacentral:rRNA from 1 species